rnacentral:rRNA from 1 species
AGCAGCCGCGGUAAUUCCAGCUCCAAUAGCGUAUAUUAAAGUUGUUGCAGUUAAAAAGCUCGUAGUUGAAUUUCGGGAUCAAUAUGUUGGUCGUGCCUCGGUACGUACUAGCUUAUUGGUUUCUCCUUUCUGAAGAACCAUGAUGUCAUUUAUUUGGUGUCGUGGGGAAUCAGGACUGUUACUUUGAAAAAAUUAGAGUGUUUAAAGCAGGCUCACGCUUGAAUACAUUAGCAUGGAAUAAUGAAAUAGGACGUUUGAUUCUAUUUUGUUGGUUUUAGGAUCGACGUAAUGAUUAAUAGGGAUAGUUGGGGGCAUUAGUAUUCAAUUGUCAGAGGUGAAAUUCUUGGAUUUAUUGAAGACUAACUACUGCGAAAGCAUUUGCCAAGGAUGUUUUCAUUAAUCAAGAACGAAAGUUAGGGGAUCGAAGACGAUCAGAUACCGUCGUAGUCUUAACCAUAAACUAUGCCGACUAGGGAUCGGAUGAUGUUAAUUUUUAAUGACUCAUUCGGCGCCUUAAC